rnacentral:rRNA from 1 species
GGAUUAGAUACCCUGGUAGUCCACGCCCUAAACGCUGUCAACUGGCUUUUUCGAGUAUCGACCCUCGAAGAGGCGAAGCUAACGCGUUAAGUUGACCGCCUGGGUAGUACGACCGCAAGGUUAAAACUCAAAGGAAUAGACGGGGACCCGCACAAGCGGUGGAGCGCGAGGCUUAAUUCGUCGCUAAACGAAAAACCUUACCGAGGCUAGAAAUCCAGCUGCACGCCCUGGGAAACCAGGGAAGCUUUCGAAGGUGCUGGACAGGUGAUGCAUGGCUGUCGUCAGUUCGUGGCUUGAGCUGUUCCCUUAAGUGGGGAAACGAACGCAACCCUCGUUGCCUGUUAUACGUGUCAGGCGAGACUGCUCCCUCACGGGAGAGGAAGGUGAGGAUGAC